AACGAACGCUGGCGGCAUGCCUAACACAUGCAAGUCGAACGAGACCUUCGGGUCUAGUGGCGCACGGGUGCGUAACGCGUGGGAAUCUGCCCUCUGGUACGGAAUAACUCAGGGAAACUUGAGCUAAUACCGUAUAAUGACUUCGGUCCAAAGAUUUAUCGCCCGAGGAUGAGCCCGCGUCGGAUUAGCUAGUUGGUGAGGUAAAAGCUCACCAAGGCGACGAUCCGUAGCUGGUCUGAGAGGAUGAUCAGCCACACUGGGACUGAGACACGGCCCAGACUCCUACGGGAGGCAGCAGUGGGGAAUAUUGGAAAAUGGGCGAAAGCCUGAUCCAGCAAUGCCGCGUGAGUGAUGAAGGCCUUAGGGUUGUAAAGCUCUUUUACCCGGGACGAUAAUGACGGUACCCGGAGAAGAAGCCCCGGCUAACUUCGUGCCAGCCGCCGCGGUAAGAC
rnacentral:rRNA from 1 species